UACGAAGGGGGCUAGCGUUGCUCGGAAUCACUGGGCGUAAAGCGCACGUAGGCGGAUUGCUAAGUCAGGGGUGAAAUCCUGGAGCUCAACUCCAGAACUGCCUUUGAUACUGGCGAUCUCGAGUCCGGGAGAGGUGAGUGGAACUGCGAGUGUAGAGGUGAAAUUCGUAGAUAUUCGCAAGAACACCAGUGGCGAAGGCGAGUCCCUGGACAACUCCUGACACUGAGGCACGAAAGCUAGGGGAGCAAACAGG
rnacentral:rRNA from 1 species